rnacentral:rRNA from 1 species
AAAAAUGUAUUUUUAAAAGUCAAGUGAUUAAUAGUUAAGUUCUUUAAAGCUUAAUAUUUUGGCGGUAUUUUAAACUUUUCAGAGGAACUUGUUCUGUAAUUGAUAAUCCACGAUUGAAUAUACUUUAUUUAGAAAUUUUUAUAUCGUCGUUAUUAAAUAUUUUAUAAGAAUUUAAAUGUUUAAAAUUUUAUAUUUAAAGAUAAUUCAGAUCAAGGUGAAGUUUAUAAUAAAGAAGAAAUGAGUUACAUUAUAUUUAUAUUUAGAUAAUUAUUUGAAAAAUAAUUUGAAAUUGGAUUUGAAAGUAAUUAAAUUAACAUUUUUUUAAUGAUUUAGCACUAAAAUAUGU